ACUACUCCUCCUUAAAUUUUAGUCUGAUUUCAAUAUAACUUGGCACACAAGUAGACUAUACUAAGAUACAUAAUUCUGUGCAUCAGUUUUUGAUAAGUACAAACCAGUAGAGCUACAAUCUCGACAGAGACUUCUGGUUAUUUUUUCUUCCAUCCCGGUUGUUGCUAAUGCUAUUACAUAAUUAGUUUAAAUUAGAAUGCAAUAGUACCUGGACAUAAUUUAUCAUUUCAGAGAGAAGAAAACUGUGUGACUUUAAAAGAAAACCAGUGAGAUAAAAUCAUAGAAAAUGUAUGAUGAUUCAGGAUGUGGUCAUUUGUGACAUUAAAACAGGAAUUGUCAUCACCAAUAGACGAAUUUCACAUUCCUAAGAGUUUUCUCCAAUUGUUGGCGUAUCGCUCAUUUUUCCCACUUUGUCCUUUGUCCUGUUCUGUGGAUGCCCUAAGACAGUGUCUACCCAUCACUCCAUCUGAUAUCACUUGUUCUGAGCAUAUUUCUCUCUCAAACUUAAACUACAGAGAGCCUGUGGAUAGUGGAUGAAGAGUGACCUUGGACCAAUUUUCUAGGUCAAAGAUCAAAGGUGAUGUGAAGAAAACCAGGAAACUGAUGUUGAAAGAAGUACUUAAUGACCCUUAUGAAUGGACUUAAAUGUGAAAGACUGUUCCAUUGUUUAUCUAAGAUAUAUGGAUUUAUUUAAUAUUUUGAUAUCAUUGAAAAAUUCAGUUACAGUUUUUGUACAUCAAAUGAAUUAUUAAACAUAUAAAAUGGUAAUGCUUUUUUCUUUUACAUGUAAUAAAUUUUUUUGAUAGAUUUUUAAAAGAAUACACAUUAUUUCACAUUGCUUCCUUUAGAAAAGUUAGGGAAUCUUGAAGUUUCCCAGUAAUUUCCACCAGGAAUGGGACUCCAGAUAAUUCCACCAAGUUUC